rnacentral:lncRNA from 1 species
CUGAGCUGGCACCUAAGCUACAAGACAAAGUCAUUCCCACUCUUCCCUCCCCUUUCUGCAAGCAAAGGAAUCUCUCUCCAUGGCCACCACUGCCCAGGUUCUCACUCUGUGCCAUGUGGCUGCUGCUGGAAGAUUGGGGAGAGGUGGCAUUGGCAACUCAAGACUGUCUUUCCUACCCUCUUCAGUGCCUCCUUCAGUGAUAUGAAGUUAAAACGCAGUGCUGUGAUCAGUCACCUGAUUUUUUAUUCUUCUGAAGACCUUCAAGGAAUGUGUUGACCAUUAAGUCCCAAUAUUUUUAUACUCUAUUGUGAUCCUCUGAAAAUGGAUCAUUCUGAGUGAGCACACCAAAUGAAGUUUUUUAAAAGAGGAGGGGAGGUCUUACUCAUAACAGUCAGUUUCCUGCAUGGUAUUUGAACAACUUAGAGAGAAUCGAGUAAUGGUAGCGCCCUUCUUCAGUGAAGGUUUCUUCCUGGAAACAGAACCGGAAGAAGCAAGUGGUCAAAGGUUUUGCUGUCAUCAAACUGACCUAAUACUGGGAGGACAAUGAACACUUGGUCUAAAUGGAAGAAGCAGAAAAAUAAACACUAUCGUGUCAAGAACAAUCAAUCAACCUUUUGAACAUCUUCUAGAGUGAUUUGACUGGUGCACCAGCAAGUUAGAUAAACUUUGAGUCACCCAACUAGCAAUGAUCACACUUAUGUUCCUUGUGACAUUAGUGCUAGUGCACAGCCAAGCAUACAGGAAGACAGAGCACUGUCUCACAACCUGUGGAUUUGAUUUCUGAGAGGUCAUGACAAAGAUGCAAAAUCCAAAAGGGUAAACUUCGACUCCAGAUCUCACUUACAUGCAACUUGAAUGGCAAGUGCCGCCCUAGAAACAGGCUGGAUGCUCCUGGAACGUGGGCUGGGAUGUGUUCUGUGCCACAUUCCCGAGCCUUCUUUCUGGCUGGCAUUGAUAAAAGUCCUUUUUAAGGCCUACCCUGUUUCUUUGGGCCUGGAAGCAAGAAUGUUUAUAGACAUCCUGGUGAGAGAAGGCUGUUUGAUGAAUGCAGGAGACUGCGGCUAGGUGUCAGCACUUGGAAAAUGAGGCAAGGACAUGAGGUAUUAAUAUUGUCAAUGAUCUCUUGACAGGAAAACAGAUACUGCAUUCACUGUCAGAUUUAAAUAGACAUCAAGUGCAUUAACGACAAAAGGGCAGACUUCAAACAAAGGGGCUGUGUGGUGAAGAGCCGAGCUAGUCUCUGUGCUGGCAACAGCCUGAUCUGAAAAGACACCAUCAGGGUUGCAGACAGGCCCAGGAUUGUGUGCGGUGACAGAAAACAGAGAUACUGACAGAGAUACCAGCGCCAUAUUAUGCCAAGGAUAUUCUAACGCUGCCUGCGGCUCUAACGAAAGCUGACAUCACUCCCCAUCACUUGGGGUCGUCUCUGCCUGCCCCUGCAGAACAUCUCUCCCCAGACAUCAUUACAAAACUCACUGUGGCUGCAAAGGUCCUGGCAGUUCUGUUCUGCUGGAGUGGUGGGGUCAAGGGGCCUAAGGAUAACCUCAGUCAAUCUAAAUUUGGAAUUUGCAGGAGGAGCACGCCCGACCCCACUGAUAUCUUGGCUACUUGAGGUGAUCAGAAGGCCAUUGUGUGAGGAGCUGUCACCUUGAAUAAACUCCCAGAAAGGACGGCACUCAGUCUGUGGGCUGCUCCAGGAAGGCGUGGGGACGGCCUGGCAGUUGAAAAUGAGAUCCAGCUGCUGGUGCUCGCCCGGGGAGAAAGGUGCUCUGGCUAGCAAUGCUAAGAAUCGGCUGAAAUUGUCAAACUCAAACCAUCUCCAGCAGCUGAAAUUAAGCGAGAAUUGCCUCUGUGAGUCUCCUCCCAGAGCUCAGAGUUGGGAUGUGAUUACCCCCAAUAUGUGACUUUUGUGUUCAAAAAUAAAUAAAUAAAAUUAACCAGGAAAAGCAAACAUGCACGAAACAGCACAGUCCCAUGUGUGGCCACAGGCCUUUAUUUAUCAUGAAGGUUAUUUGUAAAAUAUGAGGCUCUGCUCGUAAAUUAAGUGAGGUGGCAUUGUGUUUCUCUCUCCCUCGUCCUCCCCACAGCCCUUCUUCUCCCGCCAUGGCAACUGCCAUCAACUGUGAAAAUUACGGAGGGAACAGUUUGCUUGCAAAGAACAUUUUGAUGGGGAGGCACUCCGAGGCUGGAAUUUGGGAACCCGCUGGUUUGUGACUCAGUAGGCAAUGGUUUCUCUACACAUCUGCAACGGAUUCAUUUGUUUCUAUCUCUUCAAACUACAACUUCUUGGGACUGGAGGGGGAACAACACAUUUAAUGGCAUAUGCAGUGUUUUUAAUUAAAAGAUCUGGCUUUGGCCAUAGUAAGUAAAGCAGGCUUGCCCUGUGUCAGGCUGACGUGCAGCUGUCUGUGUGGGGUUUCUUUUCGAA